rnacentral:tRNA from 1 species
UCCCUGGUGGCUCAGACAGUAAAGCGUCUGCCUGCGAUGCGAGCAACCCAGGUUCGAUCCCUGGCUUGGGAA